UACCAGCACCCCGAGUGGUCGGGACGAUUAUUGGGCCUAAAGCAUCCGUAGCCGGUCCUGCAAGUCUUCCGUUAAAUCCAGCUGCUCAACAGAUGGGCUGCGGAGGAUACUACAGGGCUAGGAGGCGGGAGAGGCAAGCGGUACUUUAUGGGUAGGGGUAAAAUCUGUUGAUCCAUAGAAGACCACCAGUGGCGAAGGCGGCUUGCCAGAACGCGCUCGACGGUGAGGGAUGAAAGCUGGGGGAGCAAACCGG
rnacentral:rRNA from 1 species